rnacentral:lncRNA from 1 species
GCCCGCCGUACACCUUGCGCCAUGACGGGGAUUUCGGUGGCCGGGGCCCCGGCCACCAAAAUCCCCGUUAUAGGCUAUAUAGGCUAUUACGGGUUAUAUAGCCUAUAACCUUGCCUAUAGCCUAUAUAUGCUAUAGGCUAGGUUAUUGGUCCGUUAUAGGCUAUAGCUGGCAACGUAACGGGCCGGCAUGCCAGGGCCCCGUUGAAAGGGUCCUUGCAACGGGGCAUAACAGCCCCCGUGCAAUGCCCGAGCCCUGUUAUGGCGGGGUGCUGCCAUAACCAGGACAGUCAAUACUGUCCUGGUUAUGGCAAUACAGGGCCGUGGUAAGGGCAGCAUGGCAGGUCAAGGCCAUAACAAGGACUGUUACGAUCCCAUAACAGGGCCAUAACAGUCCCUAUUAUGGUGCCGGCUAUAGUCCUUGCGCGGGAUAUAGGGCAGGGUCGGCGCAGUCUCGUUUCCUCCCUGCAAAGUCACAACGUACGGCUUGGCCCGUCUGUUGUGGUAACCGACAAACUUCUGGUUUGUGGAGGGUUCGGCGAUGGCUUGUUUCUGGCCCUCCCUGGGUUGCCGCUUUUCCGGUAUUUUGCCCGAGUUUGGUAUCCUAGGUCCUCUUCUUUCGGGAGGACUGGCUGUUGUAAAUCCGUUCGGCCUAUUUGUGUUUUUGAUCCC